rnacentral:lncRNA from 1 species
UUCCGCUCGUUCGGUUUCUCCGCAAGCACCUUGUUUUCUAUUUUUCUUAAUUUUUUUGAGAUUUUUUAGGAUUUUCAUUUGAUUCAAAAUAUCCUCCAGCACUUCCUCCUCUAGCAGUUCUAGAAGUUCGUCAACUCCAGCCCCCCAAAAUCCUAGUACCGUAGAUGAACCCGCACUUAGGAUCGAACCUUGUUCGAUCUUUGUACCAGACACCAUUCCCAGCUCUUUGA